AGAAAAAUAUUGUGCAGAGAAUUCUUAGAAAAUUAUAAAGAGUGAAACAUGGGAGAUUUUGUUCUGUGUGGUCAAGCUCAUCCUUAGAGCCGUGUGACUCGUUACUGCUCAAUCACGUCCGCGCUUCAGGUUGAUCAAUCUUGACCAACAGCCAGCGCCAAUCAGUUCUAGGCGCGCAGGUGGGUGUACGCUGCCACACAUAUACACAUACACACUAGAGCGAGGCGUCUUGCUUGUGUUCCUGUGCUGCCAAGACUAGAGCAGCCGUCGCGAACCUGCUUCCCAACCAAUCCAGACGUGACAUUUGAGCGGGUCUAACCCUCCUCCGCUAGGUGUGAGUGCAACAGAUCAAGCUUCUCACCUAGUAUUUACGCCUAUGAUGUAGGCGACAUCACCGUAGGCAAGGUAAGCCUUCUGAUCAGCGUGAGGGAGGCGCCCACGUGUCUCUCUCCAACCCAGUGGCCUAGCGACACGUUUCUGGUUACUAUGCUCCCUGCUGCACACGAUUAGCCCCCACACCUAGGUUUAAUUUUAUUCUUUAUUUCUUCUUCUAAAUGAACUUUUUUUAUUUUUUUUAAAUAAUAAUAACCAUAUUUAAUCAAUAUAUAAUUAUUAUUUUGCAAAACAUGAUAUAAUUAUUUUCAAAUCUCUUUGAAAUAAGAUGUAGUGUGGACAUUAGUUUCUAUUGUUUCAUCAUUUUUGAAGAGAUAAUUAUUUUACCAACAAACCAUUUUUAAAAGCAAGAAUUAUAUAGUCUUGAUUUCCUAAAGCAUGUAGGAUAUGUACGAGCAAGAUUUAAUCGUGUUAGACACAAAAAUAAAACAAUAUAUUUUGUUUUAGACAAUUUAAUUUUAAAUAAAUUAAGGGUAUUUAAAUCGUGCAAUUAGCUAAUGGUACUGUGUUUAAAUAUUUUUUCUAUAUUUUUACCAUAAUAUAUAUUGACGACUCUAAGAGAUCGCAUAGCCGAAGGGGCGCGUAACAGAAAAUCGGGGCACAAAAGUAAGGAUAAUUAAUGUCCAUGGUGGAGUUGACAUCUCCCCAUUAACUCAAGUUCUGAAUUCCAUUUUUAUCAAGUUAUGUAUGUUAAUUAGAUUAUUUUUUAGUUGGGAUUGGUUUAGUUAUUCAUAGAACUUAUUCUUUUAUUGACAUUUUACCGCCCAAUGUUUACCAAUAAAAAUUGGUAUGUAGUUGCCAGGGAGGAUUGUCUAUGGGUGAGGGCCAAUAAGGUAUGUUUGAAGAAUGAAGAUAUUUGGAAAUUAAUUCCUAACCAAAAUUCUAAUUGGCAUUUGAAGAAAUUAAUGGAUCCUAUUGGUUUGCUUCACCUUAUGGCACAUAUGAAUUGUGUGAGUUUUAUACAUUGUCACUCAUUCUCCAUUAUUCAUAUUUUAUCUUUAUUUACUUUUUAAAAAAAUAAUAUAAAUUAAUGAUAGAUGAUAUACUAACUAUGUAUAUAUUUUUAUGCUAACAAUGCAUAAAUAUUGCACUAAUUAAAUAUAAAUGGUAACAAAAUGCAUAUUACAACUUUCCCACUCCAAUAUUUAUUUGGGGAAGAUAUGUUAUCCUCAAGCACUCCUUUGUAGGUUGACUUGACUCUUAUGCGGAGGAUGAUUGCUGACUAAGGAUCAAGUAAACAGUUUGGAUACACUCGGGUUGAUUUCACAUUUGUUCUCUACGAACUACUAUGAACAAUUGGAAUUUAUUGCAC
rnacentral:lncRNA from 1 species